GAUGAACGCUGGCGGCGUGCCUAACACAUGCAAGUCGAACGGAGUCCAGCCUUUAAGACCUUCGGGUCAAAGAGGGGAAGACUGAGUGGCGGACGGGUGAGUAACACGUGGGCAACCUGGCUCAUAGAGGGGGAUAACAGAGAGAAAUUUCUGCUAAUACCGCAUAAGCACACACUGCCGCAUGGCAGAGGGUGAAAAGAGAAUCGCUAUGAGAUGGACCCGCGUCUGAUUAGCCAGUUGGCAGGGUAAGAGCCUACCAAAGCGACGAUCAGUAGCCGAUCUGAGAGGAUGUACGGCCACAUUGGGACUGAGACACGGCCCAAACUCCUACGGGAGGCAGCAGUGGGGGAUAUUGCACAAUGGGGGGAACCCUGAUGCAGCGACGCCGCGUGAGUGAAGAAGUAUUUCGGUAUGUAAAGCUCUAUCAGCAGGGAAGAUAAUGACAGUACCUGAAGAAGAAGCCCCGGCUAACUACGUG
rnacentral:rRNA from 1 species